rnacentral:siRNA from 1 species
GAGGAGGUCCCUGCUCGAUGAC